rnacentral:snoRNA from 2 species
GUCGACAAUACUUCAGAGAAUCAUUUCUAUAGUAUUCGACCCUUUCUUGGUUCCCUAAAGGAGCCACAGAUCCCACCCUGGUUGAUGAUCUAUAUCCCCGACACCCUAGAGUGAAGAAGCUCCUGGUUGCUCUCGAACCCUCCGCAAGGGGGGCGGUCGUGUGUCUUUUGACCGCGGCUGUAUAGAGAGCGGUGAUGAUCUCGUCCCCGGCUACGGUCUUGCCCUCGGGCGCGUGGUCGGGGCGGGUGUCGGCGGRCGUCUGACAGGC